rnacentral:tRNA from 1 species
GGAGGGGUGGCAGAGUGGCUGAAUGCGACGGUCUCCGUGACCGUGCCGGCUCACCGGCCGGCCGAGGGUUCGAAUCCUUCCCCCUCCG